GCCAUCUGUGGACUCCUGUGAUGUGUUGUGAACAGUAAAUUACAUUCACAUUGACACUGUUAUACCUUCAUAAAGCAUCUUCCAUUCUAUGACUGGCACUGAAAUUAAUUUAAAAGUUGGGAGGCUGACUGACCUUACAUGGUGACAAGAAUGCUGUCAGACUUCGAUGCGCAGCAGAAAGAUGACCAGAGAGGGGAGGGGCAGGAGCAGAUAGUCUGGCAAAUGAACUGGCCUCACCUGCCACAAUGAGCGCACAGCUGUAUGAACUGAAUUUACAUAAAUCUUGUUCUUUAUGUAUCCUAACAGCAUAUUUGUGCUUAGUAGUUUAUCAAUUUAGUCAAUUGAUUUCACUAACUCUUCCACAGUCACCUCCCCACUGCUCUUUUAUUUGUUUACUUUGUUUUGUUUCUAAUUUUUGUGAUAACAUCUUUAUUGCUUAAUGAUCUGGUUUCAUUACAGUUAAAAGGGAAAUGACAGAAAUGAAAAUAAUUAGUUUUAUUUGGAAGCUAAUAAAUAUUUAUCUAUACUUGAUACAAUGACAUGUAAAACUUGAAAUGCUGGCACUCCAGAUAGCCUCAAUCUUUUCUUACUGUGACUGAAAAUAAUUACAAAAAUAUGGAAUGUGUAUGCAAAAAUAGAUGUUAAUAAAAUUUCCACUUGCAUUGUU